rnacentral:rRNA from 1 species
UGCGCAGGCGGUUAUGUAAGACAGGUGUGAAAUCCCCGGGCUUAACCUGGGAACUGCAUUUGUGACUGCAUAGCUAGAGUACGGUAGAGGGGGAUGGAAUUCCGCGUGUAGCAGUGAAAUGCGUAGAUAUGCGGAGGAACACCGAUGGCGAAGGCAAUCCCCUGGACCUGUACUGACGCUCAUGACAAAGACGUGGGGAGCAAACA